UAGGGAAUCUUCCACAAUGGACGCAAGUCUGAUGGAGCAACGCCGCGUGAGUGAAGAAGGUCUUCGGAUCGUAAAACUCUGUUGUUAGAGAAGAACACGAGUGAGAGUAACUGUUCAUUCGAUGACGGUAUCUAACCAGCAAGUCACGGCUAACUACGUNCCAG
rnacentral:rRNA from 1 species